UUUCGCAAUGCCCGAAAGGGUGACGAAGCGACGCCGCGUGUGGGAAGAAGGCCUUCGGGUUGUAAACCACUGUCAGGAGUUAAGAAAUGUAAGGAUGUUAAUAGCGUUCUUACUUGACUAAGGCUCCAGAGGAAGCCACGGCUAACUCUGUGCCAGCAGCCGCGGUAAUACAGAGGCGGCAAGUGUUGUUCGGAAUUAUUGGGCGUAAAGAGCACGUAGGCGGCCCUGAAAGUCAGUUGUGAAAGCCUUCUGCCUAACGGAAGAACAGCAGCUGAUACUGCAAGACUAGAGUGCGGAAGGGGAGAGUGGAACUUCUGGUGGAGCGGUGAAAUGCGUAGAUAUCAGAAGGAACGCCGGCGGCGAAAGCGACUCUCUGGCCCGUAACUGACGCUGAGUGUGCGAAAGCUAGGGGAUCAAACGGGAUUAGAUACCCCGGUAGUCCUAGCCGUAAACGAUGGGCACUAAGUAGAGGGGUUUU
rnacentral:rRNA from 1 species